GAGAGUGUGGCUCAGUGAUAAAGUACUUGCCUAGCAUGUGCAAGAUCCUGGGUUUGAUCCCCAGCACUGCUA
rnacentral:tRNA from 1 species